ACAUGCAGUCGAGCGGAACGAUGGGAGCUUGCUCCCAGGCGUCGAGCGGCGGACGGGUGAGUAACACUUAGGAAUCUACCUAGUAGUGGGGGAUAGCUCGGGGAAACUCGAAUUAAUACCGCAUACGACCUACGGGAGAAAGGGGGCAGUUUACUGCUCUCGCUAUUAGAUGAGCCUAAGUCGGAUUAGCUAGAUGGUGGGGUAAAGGCCUACCAUGGCGACGAUCUGUAGCUGGUCUGAGAGGAUGAUCAGCCACACCGGGACUGAGACACGGCCCGGACUCCUACGGGAGGCAGCAGUGGGGAAUAUUGGACAAUGGGGGAAACCCUGAUCCAGCCAUGCCGCGUGUGUGAAGAAGGCCUUUUGGUUGUAAAGCACUUUAAGCAGUGAAGAAGACCUAACGGUUAAUACCCGUUAGCGAUGACAUUAGCUGCAGAAUAAGCACCGGCUAACUCUGUGCCAGCAGCCGCGGUAAUACAGAGGGUGCAAGCGUUAAUCGGAAUUACUGGGCGUAAAGCGAGCGUAGGUGGCUUGAUAAGUCAGAUGUGAAAUCCCCGGGCUUAACCUGGGAACUGCAUCUGAUACUGUUAAGCUAGAGUAGGUGAGAGGGAAGUAGAAUUCCAGGUGUAGCGGUGAAAUGCGUAGAGAUCUGGAGGAAUACCGAUGGCGAAGGCAGCUUCCUGGCAUCAUACUGACACUGAGGCUCGAAAGCGUGGGUAGCAAACAGGAUUAGAUACCCUGGUAGUCCACGCCGUAAACGAUGUCUACUAGUCGUUGGGUCCCUUGAGGACUUAGUGACGCAGCUAACGCAAUAAGUAGACCGCCUGGGGAGUACGGCCGCAAGGUUAAAACUCAAAUGAAUUGACGGGGGCCCGCACAAGCGGUGGAGCAUGUGGUUUAAUUCGAUGCAACGCGAAGAACCUUACCUGGUCUUGACAUACACAGAAUCUUGUAGAGAUACGAGAGUGCCUUCGGGAAUUGUGAUACAGGUGCUGCAUGGCUGUCGUCAGCUCGUGUCGUGAGAUGUUGGGUUAAGUCCCGCAACGAGCGCAACCCUUGUCCUUAGUUACCAGCGGGUUAAGCCGGGAACUCUAAGGAUACUGCCAGUGACAAACUGGAGGAAGGCGGGGACGACGUCAAGUCAUCAUGGCCCUUACGACCAGGCUACACACGUGCUACAAUGGUAGUACAGAGGCAGCUACACAGCGAUGUGAUGCGAU
rnacentral:rRNA from 1 species